AUGUUCAGCAAAAUUAAAAAAAAAACGCCGCCGUCAACGGCGACGUCGAUUCAUGCCGGCGAGUUACAGUGGCCCACAGCUCGCGAGUCACCACUCGUUGCGCUCUCCUCUGCCAAGCUAGCCUGUCCGCUGCUUGUGUGGUUGCUUGGCCGGUCCGUUGUUGGCUUGCCGGAGCGUGCGGGUGCUGCUGCUCAGCAAGAAGAUGCGUCUAUGCGAGAUGAGCCUGGCUGCCGCUCUUGGUGGCGCCGUCGACGACGCAUGUGGCUUGUGGCCUCCGUGGUUGUUGGUGCCGCCGCUUGCCGGCGUGUGGUUGGUGAGUUGCUGCCUUCCCGCCGCGUGCAUGUGCUGCCGCUGCCGCUUGCAGCUGCCUCGCAUCUGCUGCUUCGCUGCUACGUGCAUGAGGGAGCUUGGUGGCCGCCCGCCGGCGUACGUGCUGCUACUUUGCUGCUUGAGAGAUGGCAUGCGGGUGAGCCGGAGAACGAACGGUGCGCACCUGAAGCUGGAGGUGCUCAAGCACUACGCCGGCAGGCUGCUGCAGCUGCUCGAGUCCUCCGCCGGCGUGCAUUGAAUUCUCCAUGGUUGUGUGCAUGUGUAUGGGAGUGUGGAUGUGUGAGACGGUGA
rnacentral:rRNA from 1 species